rnacentral:rRNA from 1 species
CGUCUAUAUACGUAUAGCAUAUCAAUAAGCGGAGGAAAAGAAACUAACUAGGAUUCCCUCAGUAACGGCGAGUGAAGCGGGAAGAGCUCAAAUUUGAAAUCUUCAAGGUUCUACCUUGACGAAUUGUAGUUUAAAGAAGUGUUUUCUGUUGGAGUUUUGGUAAAAGUUCUUUGGAAUAGGACAUCAUAGAGGGUGAGAAUCCCGUAUUUGACCAUUAUUUCCAACUUUGUGAUACACUUUCAAAGAGUCGGAUUGUUUGGGAAUGCAGUCCAAAAUGGGUGGUAAAUUUCAUCUAAAGCUAAAUACUGGCGAGAGACCGAUAGCGAACAAGUACCGUGAGGGAAAGAUGAAAAGAACUUUGAAAAGAGAGUUAAACAGUACGUGAAAUUGUCAAAAGGGAAGCGUUUGACACCAGUGUUGUUUUCUCGAAAAUCAAUUAAAAAUGGCGGGAUUUUGUGUUGUAUUGACUUUAUCAGCUUUCUGCACUCUUUUCCUGUCUUUUUUAAUGCACUUUUCGUUUAACAAGUCAACAUCAAUUUCUUUUGUUGUAAAAGGGUCAUUGGAGGGUGGCUUUCUUUUCGGAGAAAGUGUUUAUAGCCUUUGACUUCUGCAAUCGGAGAGAUUGAGGUCUGCAGCGUAGAUCCUUCGGGGUUAGAUGCAUUUGUGCUAAGUUAUAGCCUUUCAUAGACAACUUGUUGACUAUGAUCAGUCAUGUAGCUUACUCGCUUAUGUCAUUUUACCUACGCUUAGGAUGUUGACGAUCAGCUGAGCGCG